UUAAAAAUAUUGUGUAUAUUUACUGAUCUCGAAUUCUUUAGGAUUUAAGAGUUUAUUAAUUUUAGUGUGGAAUAACUAUUUAAAAUAUUCUUUUGGUAGUGAAAUGCUAUUCGUCUAUGAUUAUAUCUAGUUUCUUAAGAAAUAAAUUUAAUUUAGCCUGACAUCUUGAAUAGUUUUAUUUUAAAAUUGGUUUUUUUGUUUGGGUAAUUUUUUAGGGGAAAAGCUCUAGAAUAAAAUUUUAUAAUUAGCUUGUUGGCAUUAAUAAAUAGGAUUGGAAGUGUUCAUUUUUAACAGUGUGUUAUUACAGCUUUAUUGGUAGCUUUGAUUUUUUCUUUUUUAGAUUUUUAUUAAGAUAUCUAAUUUAUUUCUGAUUUUGGAGUAAAAAUGAKUGAAUUAGUAUAUUUAUUUGUGGGGGGAAUUUUUUAAUUUUAGUUUAAGCAAAGGAACUCGGCAAGUUGAAAUUUUCUGCCUGUUUAAUAAAAACAUGGCCUCUUGAGUUAAUUUGAGGUCUGGCCUGCCCGAUGAUUGUUUCAAUGGCCGCGGUAUUUUGACCGUGCAAAGGUAGCAUAAUCAUUAGUUUUUUAAUUGGAAGCUGGAAUGAAUGGUCGGACAAGAUAAUUACUGUCUCUGCUUGAUUUUUUAGAAUUUUAUUUUUGAGUUAAAAAGCUUAAAUGUUUUUGGGGGACGAGAAGACCCUAUAGAAUUUUAUUGUUAUUUUUUGUUAAAUAUUUGGUUUAAUUUUUUUGGCUGAUUUUUAGCAAUUUUGUUGGGGUGACAGGAAAAUUUGUUAAACUUUUCUUAAUUUUUACACUGAUUGGUGAAUUAAUGAUCCAAUUAUUUUGAUUAUAAGACUAAAUUACCUUAGGGAUAACAGCGUUAUUAGGUUGGAGAGUUCUUAUCGAUAAUCUAGUUUGCGACCUCGAUGUUGGAUUAAAAUUAACUUUUGGUGGAGAGGCUAAAAGGUUAAGUCUGUUCGACUUUUAAAAUUUUACAUGAUCUGA
rnacentral:rRNA from 1 species